CCUACGGGGGGCAGCAGUGGGGAAUAUUGGACAAUGGGGGGAACCCUGAUCCAGCCAUGCCGCGUGUGUGAAGAAGGCCCUCGGGUUGUAAAGCACUUUCAGUGAGGAAGAACGCCUGGUGGUUAAUACCCAUCAGGAAAGACAUCACUCACAGAAGAAGCACCGGCUAACUCCGUGCCAGCAGCCGCGGUAAUACGGAGGGUGCGAGCGUUAAUCGGAAUUACUGGGCGUAAAGCGCGCGUAGGUGGCUUGAUAAGCCGGUUGUGAAAGCCCCGGGCUCAACCUGGGAACGGCAUCCGGAACUGUCAAGCUAGAGUGCAGGAGAGGAAAGUAGAAUUCCCGGUGUAGCGGUGAAAUGCGUAGAGAUCGGGAGGAAUACCAGUGGCGAAGGCGGCCUUCUGGACUGACACUGACACUGAGGUGCGAAAGCGUGGGUAGCAAACAGGAUUAGAUACCCUUGUAGUC
rnacentral:rRNA from 1 species